rnacentral:rRNA from 1 species
GCCUGCCCAGUGACAAUGUUCAACGGCCGCGGUAUCCUAACCGUGCGAAGGUAGCGUAAUCACUUGUUCUUUAAAUAAGGACUAGUAUGAACGGCACCACGAAGGUUACACUGUCUCCUCUUUCUAAUCAGUGAAACUAAUCUCCCCGUGAAGAAGCGGGGAUAAAAAUAUAAGACGAGAAGACCCUAUGGAGCUUUAAACUACAAGGCACUUGCCCCCAUAUAAUCAAAUUCCAGAAAAUCAUUACCACCCAGGCAACAUGACCUUUAGUUUUAGGUUGGGGUGACCGCGGAGCAAAGAAAAACCUCCACAUUGAAAGGAGACCUCUCCUUAGCCAAGAGCCACACCUCUAAGCACCAACAAAAAGACAUUAAUUGACCCAAUAUUUUUGAUCAACGAACCAAGUUACCCUAGGGAUAACAGCGCAAUCCACUUCAAGAGCUCCUAUCGACAAGUGGGUUUACGACCUCGAUGUUGGAUCAGGGUAUCCCGGUGGUGCAGCCGCUACCAAAGGUUCGUUUGUUCAACGAUUAAAACCCUACGUGAUCU